rnacentral:lncRNA from 1 species
CCCUGGACCGUGCGUGGACUACGUGUUUGAUCCAUGCGGCUUCCAUGGACCGCCCAACACCCUGUGGUCCACGAUGGACUGCGUAGGGCACUGGGCCUGGGCACCUACGCAUGCUGGGUCGGCCCGCACAUGCCCGCAUUGGGCCCGCCCGUCUGCUGGGCCACACGUGCUUGCGCGCACGCAUCUCCGUCGGGCCCGACCGCACCAUCGUGGCCUCCGCCGCCUCAUGUGCCAUGCCGCAUGCUCC